rnacentral:lncRNA from 1 species
GUCAUCGGGGAGCUAGGCUGACCACAGCUGAGACUGUAACAGAUAGAGAGCAUGUGCUAGAGCGAGAAUGAGAGAGAGAGAGAGAGAGAGAGGGAAAAAGAGAGAAAGUAAAUGCAUCUGGAGGGAUUUUGUGGGCAAGGCCAAUGAUGGUGAAUUAUUUCUACUUAUAUUUCUGUAAAGAAACUCCAGUCACACGACUGUACUCACCUGUAGGAAAUUCUGGGAAAUGUAAUCUGUGUGUCCAAAGAAUGGACAAAGAAUGCUGUGGAUAGCUGGCAAUUCUUGUCACAUGUACCUAAAAUGCCUG